UAAGGGCGCACGGUGGAUGCCUUGGCACUAGAAGCCGAUGAAGGACGUUACUAACGACGAUAUGCUUUGGGGAGCUGUAAGUAAGCUUUGAUCCAGAGAUUUCCGAAUGGGGAAACCCAGCAUGAGUUAUGUCAUGUUAUCGAUAUGUGAAUACAUAGCAUAUCAGAAGGCACACCCGGAGAACUGAAACAUCUUAGUACCCGGAGGAAGAGAAAGAAAAUUCGAUUCCCUUAGUAGCGGCGAGCGAAACGGGAAGAGCCCAAACCAACAAGCUUGCUUGUUGGGGUUGUAGGACACUCUAUACGGAGUUACAAAGGACGACAUUAGACGAAUCAUCUGGAAAGAUGAAUCAAAGAAGGUAAUAAUCCUGUAGUCGAAAAUGUUGUCUCUCUUGAGUGGAUCCUGAGUACGACGGAGCACGUGAAAUUCCGUCGGAAUCUGGGAGGACCAUCUCCUAAGGCUAAAUACUCUCUAGUGACCGAUAGUGAACCAGUACCGUGAGGGAAAGGUGAAAAGCACCCCGGAAGGGGAGUGAAAUAGAACCUGAAACCGUGUGCUUACAAGUAGUCAGAGCCCGUUAAUGGGUGAUGGCGUGCCUUUUGUAGAAUGAACCGGCGAGUUACGAUUUGAUGCAAGGUUAAGCAGUAAAUGUGGAGCCGUAGCGAAAGCGAGUCUGAAUAGGGCGUUUAGUAUUUGGUCGUAGACCCGAAACCAGGUGAUCUACCCUUGGUCAGGUUGAAGUUCAGGUAACACUGAAUGGAGGACCGAACCGACUUACGUUGAAAAGUGAGCGGAUGAACUGAGGGUAGCGGAGAAAUUCCAAUCGAACCUGGAGAUAGCUGGUUCUCUCCGAAAUAGCUUUAGGGCUAGCCUCAAGUGAUGAUUAUUGGAGGUAGAGCACUGUUUGGAC
rnacentral:rRNA from 1 species